CUUCAUAGAUUUAUAUGACAUAAAACAAAACACAUGUUUUUUCUUAUCAUAUAAACCGAAUUCCUUUUCUUCAUCAAAACCCUCACUUUGCCACCGUCCUCUCUCACUCCUCUUCUUUGAUGAGGUAGGCAGGGAGAUGGAUCAGAUCCGUAGGUGCUUUAUUAGCGGAUUCUCAGGAGCACUCCACUUAUUUUGGAGCUGCAGUCUAUUGGUAUUGGUCUUCAUGGUCACUUGUAUUCUAUGUAGAGGCUCGUAGAAAUGUGUGUACAGUUAGACGUUUCAUAACCCUACCGGUUCAUAUUGUUGUAUUAUAUUUUAGUAGCCUUGUCGGCUGGUGACGAUGGGCAUACUUAUUGAAGGUUUUAUAGAGAUAUGCCGUUAUGUUGUGAUAUAUGUCCGUACAGAUUAUGAUAUCCAUGAGAUAUCUUUAUGGUCCACCCAGAAAAGUUUAUGA